rnacentral:lncRNA from 1 species
GACAAAUACAGGUACAGACUGGCAAGAUGUCAUCAAAUGACAGCACAAGUAGAGCAAGUGAUGCUGACAGAACUGGGCUAUAGUAAAUUGAAUGUCUUUCAGUCAACUCUAAAUGUUUCCAGGUUUCUAAUGUUUGUUGACCCAGCUGUAACAUGAACACAGACCGCGCUCUUGUGUAUUAUUGCACAAAACAACAUCGGUCAGUGCACCUGAGCGCAGACUGAGCGGUACAACAGGUUAAUAGCUGGUGGGACACUGAGCUACACGUCACUCGCUCCCUGUGACAGACUCCACCCCUUUUAUGUGAACGCGCUUUAAGCCGAAUUAGAAAAUCCUGGGUUAACAAAGCUCGCUGAUAUCCAGCUUCUUGACACCGGUUAUCUUUUCUUCGUUUCCAUCACCUAGACAGUUUUUUAUACGUGACGCGUGUGGUAACCAGCUGACGCACUGAUUAAACUCGGGUCUGUUGCGUUUCACGGCCGUAGAUUACGAUUUGAUUACUAAAUCUAGCAUUGAAACAUCUCGGAUAACUGCGUGCACACGCUUUGUCAUAAAGAAGAAACCAAUCGCACGCCGAUAACCGGAUCACAGCUCAUGAAUACAGACAGAGAUUUCCAGAUGAUGAAGAAACACGAGAGGGCACAUUUUUUCAGUUCUAAAGAGCAGGAACUAAUUUUGAAGUUGUAUGAAGAGGAAAGAGAAAUAUUGACAGCCAAAUCCAACACUACCAGCGCCUCUAAAUUGAGAGAGGAGGCCUGGCAGAGGAUUGCUGAUAAAAUAAAUGCGGUUUCGGACAGUGGCUACAAAAGGACGUGGCAGCAAGUAAAAGUCAAACAUAAAAAUAUUGUGCAAACAGGUAGCCUCACUAUUGCAAGUCUAAGUCUUCAAUUGUGCAAUGUCCGGGAUGUAUUUUAAUUCUGUGAUCUGUGAUCAUUAUUUAGCAAAAAGAAGAAAGGCUGAGGUGAUGAGGAAUGAGGGGGGGUCAGCAACCCCAUCGCUGACCUCUGCUGAGGAGGAUGUGCUGCAGCACAAAGACAGCAGGCUGAGAAUGGAGAUCCUGCCUGGGGCUGCUUGUAUUCCUGCAGUGACAGGAUCUGACAACUCUUUUAUUAGUGUGUCGGGCCAUCCGGUCCUACUCCUCCCUGUUCCAAAGACUGAACCAGAGAGCUUGAGCAGUGAUGAGACGGAUGUCAGCGAUGCACAUUUUGAAGGGGAUGUGCACAAUAGCACGUUCCAGGACAGACCCAACUCAGCAUGUGCUGCAGCUGGUGGGAGAAGUGCAGAGAGACAGACAGAAGACAUAAGGACCCUUUACUGCUGUUACCUCAAAAAGGAGAUAGAGAACCGUGACCAACAGAUGGCAUACAGAGCACUUAAAAUAAGGAAGUUAGAAAAAGAAAUCCUGUUACUUGAUAAGCAGCUGAUGUGAUCAUGUAGUUAUCCUUCUAUUAUAUUAUCUGAAAGCAAUAUUUGACUGACAGUGAACAAAACACCCCCUAUGCAACAUCACUAUAAUGUUAAAUGAUGAAAAAUGAUGAAAAUGACUCUUGUUGCCUGUACCUCAUGGGGGGUGAUGUGUGUAUUGUUUACAGCAGUGGUGGCAGCACUGUCUCUUGUUAUUGCAGUUCUGCUAUUAGGUUGGGUAAGAUGGCAAACAAUAUGUCAGACCUUUUCUCACUGUUGCAGUAAAGCUCUGUACAACUGUACACAUGCAACAGCACAACGAACGCCUGCUACUGUGAUCCUCAGACUGUGCAAGUACUGAAAUCUACAUCAUCAUCAUUCACACUUUUCCAGAAGUAAGAUGUCCCUAAGUGGGUUUAAGGUACAGUGAGGAUUCACAAAAGGAGGUUUGUGAAACUGAUUUUCUGGAUGGAGACCCUGUUGAUUCUCUGCAUACCUUUUGGUUUGUGUUUGCUCUGUGUUCCUACACACUGGAUUUGAAAUGAAUCAAAUGACUUUACAGUAAUUUGAGGACAUCACACACUUACAUCUGCAUCAGAUGAGUAAUGUUUUAUUGUUGUGUUUUUAUUUUUUAGGAGACAGUUGGACAACUUAAAUGUAUUUAUUGAUCGGCUUUGUGUUUCUUUUCAAUUUGUCUACUUGAAAGAGAAACAGCACUGAGUUUCGCAGCUUAAAUUAAGGUGUAAUACUAAAAUUAAACUGUCAACUCCUCGGGAUUAAUCAUGUUUAUAUUGCUUCUGAUCUAUUAUUUAUUCCACUACAUCUUUGUUAUUUGUAUUUUUUUAUUUGUCUUGGAGACAUUUCUCAGUUUUAUUUGUAUACAGCUACUAAAAUUCAAACAAUAAAACACUAGUAAAUGAUGUGUUUAAAAAAAACUGUUGUGGAUAACAUGUGGAAAUGUGGAUUAUUGAAAACGUCCGACUGAAAUAGCGUGGAUCUGUUUAAGAAUGCGCUUUGUCUUGUAGUUCAAUGAAGCCACCAGAGUAAAGAAACCCUGAUCUGAACUGUGCCCGCUCCUCGUCCGCACCUCACGCACGGAGGACUGGAUACAUUCAAAAUGGCGGAGGGACUCACCAUUUAUUACAGUACACGUUUUCUUUCAAAGAGUAAAUUUGAUGCGGGAUAUAAACCUGUACUCUGACCUCAGAAUAGAUGGGACAUGUCUCCAGAUGUCUCUGAUGAGCAGCAGACUCCAGUUUGACCGAGCUUUAACGCAGUCAUUGGCUGGCGGGAAUGUGCGCGGUCACGGCCAGCACCUGAAGCCAUCAGCAAUCGAGCACCGAAAACUGGAUUUCUG